UACGUAGGUGGCGAGCGUUGUCCGGAUUUACUGGGCGUAAAGAGCGCGCAGGCGGCUGGUCAAGUCCGAUGUGAAAGCUCCCGGCUUAACUGGGAAAUUGCAUCGGAAACUGAUCGGCUGGAAGGUGGGAGAGGGUAGCGGAAUUCCCGGUGUAGCGGUGAAAUGCGUAGAGAUCGGGAGGAAGGCCGGUGGCGAAGGCGGCGCUCUGGAACGUUUCUGACACUGAGGCUCGAAAGCGUGGGGAGCAAACAGG
rnacentral:rRNA from 1 species